GAUGAACGCUGGCGGCGUGCCUAAUACAUGCAAGUCGAGCGAACGGACGAGAAGCUUGCUUUUCUGAUGUUAGCGGCGGACGGGUGAGUAACACGUGGAUAACCUACCUAUAAGACUGGGAUAACUUCGGGAAACCGGAGCUAAUACCGGAUAAUAUUUUGAACCGCAUGGUUCAAAAGUGAAAGACGGUCUUGCUGUCACUUAUAGAUGGAUCCGCGCUGCAUUAGCUAGUUGGUAAGGUAACGGCUUACCAAGGCAACGAUGCAUAGCCGACCUGAGAGGGUGAUCGGCCACACUGGAACUGAGACACGGUCCAGACUCCUACGGGAGGCACCAGUAGGGAAUCUUCCGCAAUGGGCGAAAGCCUGACGGAGCAACGCCGCGUGAGUGAUGAAGGUCUUCGGAUCGUAAAACUCUGUUAUUAGGGAAGAACAUAUGUGUAAGUAACUGUGCACAUCUUGACGGUACCUAAUCAGAAAGCCACGGCUAACUACGUG
rnacentral:rRNA from 1 species